rnacentral:tRNA from 1 species
GGGGAUUUAGCUCAGUGGUAGAGCGCUUGCCUAGGAAGCGCAAGGCCCUGGGUUCGGUCCUCGGUCCCCA